GAUGAACGCUGGCGGCGUGCCUAAUACAUGCAAGUCGAGCGAACAGACGAGGGGCUUGCUCCUCUGACGUUAGCGGCGCACGGGUGAGUAACACGUGGAUCCCCUCCCUAUCUUACUGGUAUAACUUCGGGAAACCGGAGCUAAUCCCGUAUGAUCUCUUGAACCGCAUGGUUCGGUAGUGAAAUACGGUUUUGCUGUCCCUUCUAGCUGUAUCCUCGCCGCUUUAGCUAGUUGGUACGGUAACGGCUUCCCGAGGCCACGAUGCGUAGACGACCUGAGAGGGUGAUCGGCCACACGGGAAGGGAGACACGGUCAAGGCUCCUACGGGAGGCAGCAGUAGGGAAUCGUCCGCAAUGGGCGAAAGUCUGACGGAGCAACGGCGCGUGAGUGAUGAAGGUCUUCGGAUCGGAAAACUCUGUUACUAGGUAAGAACAAAUGUGUAAGUAAAUAUGCACGUCUUGACGGUAGCUAAUCAGAAAGCCCCGGCUAACUACGUG
rnacentral:rRNA from 1 species